CCUACGGGGAGCAGCAGUGGGGAAUAUUGCACAAUGGGGGAAACCCUGAUGCAGCGACGCCGCGUGAGUGAAGAAGUAUUUCGGUAUGUAAAGCUCUAUCAGCAGGGACGAAAAUGACGGUACCUGAUUAAGAAGACCCGGCUAACUAGGUGCCAGCAGCCGCGGUAAUAAGUAGGGGGCACGCGUUAUCCGGAUUUACUGGGUGAAAAGGGAGCGUAGACGGAAGCACAAGUCUGGAGUGAAAUGCCGGGGCUUAACCCCGGAACUGCUUUGAAGAAUGUGGAGCUAGAGUGCAGGAGAGGUAAAUGGAAUUCCUAGUGUAGCGGUGGAAUGCGUAGAUAUUAGGAGGAACACCAGAGGCGAAGGCGAUUAACUGGACCGUAACUGACGUUGAGGCUCGAAAGUGUGGGUAGCAAACAGGAUUAGAUACCCGGGUAGUC
rnacentral:rRNA from 1 species